AGAGUUUGAUCAUGGCUCAGAGCGAACGUUAGCGGCGGGCCUAACACAUGCAAGUCGAGCGAGAAAGUGGCUUCGGCCAUCAGUAAAGCGGCGGACGGGUGAGUAACACGUAGGUAAUCUUCCCUCGAGCGGGGGACAACGAGCCGAAAGGCUCGCUAAUACCGCAUACGUUUCCAGAGACUCCGGUCUUUGGAAGGAAAGCUAGGUAGCAAACGGCACUCGAGGAGGAGCCUGCGUCGCAUCAGCUAGUUGGUGGGGUAACGGCCUACCAAGGCGAAGACGCGUAGCUGGUCUGAGAGGAUGAUCAGCCACACUGAAACUGAGACACGGUUCAGACUCCUACGGGAGGCAGCAGUGGGGAAUAUUGGACAAUGGGCGCAAGCCUGAUCCAGCCACGCCGCGUGAGUGAUGAAGGCCUUCGGGUCGUAAGCUCUGUGGGGAGGGACGAACCGCUGUCGGUUAAUACCCGGCAGCUGACGGUACCUCCUUAGCAAGCACCGGGCUAACUCUGUGCCAGCAGCCGCGGUAAUAC
rnacentral:rRNA from 1 species